GUCGCCAUCAUAGACGCAGUGACAAGUGUACUCGGUGCUCCGCAUAAUUACAGAUUUCCAAGAAUUUCACGAGGUAGAAUACAGAGCAUUGAAUACACCAAUUUAUACAUCUCUUCGAUACGAUGGAACUUUAUUGCGAUCGCGCGCGUAGCAAUGAAAUAAUCGAGUGUUCGUGUCGCU